UGGGGAAUAUUGCACAAUGGGCGGAAGCCUAAUGCAGCGACGCCGCGUGAGGGAUGACGGCCUUCGGGUUGUAAACCUCUUUCGCCAAGGACGAAGCCUUUGGGUGACGGUACUUGGAUAAGAAGCACCGGCUAACUACGUGCCAGCAGCCGCGGUAAUACGUAGGGUGCGAGCGUUGUCCGGAAUUAUUGGGCGUAAAGAGCUCGUAGGCGGUUUGUUGCGUCUAUCGUGAAAACCUGCGGCUUAACUGUGGGCUUGCGGUGGAUACGGGCAGACUUGAGUUCGGUAGGGGAGACUGGAAUUCCUGGUGUAGCGGUGAAAUGCGCAGAUAUCAGGAGGAACACCGGUGGCGAAGGCGGGUCUCUGGGCCGAUACUGACGCUGAGGAGCGAAAGCGUGGGGAGCGAAC
rnacentral:rRNA from 1 species